rnacentral:rRNA from 1 species
AGCAGAGAUGCUUUGGUGCCUUCGGGAACUCUGAGACAGGUGCUGCAUGGCUGUCGUCAGCUCGUGUUGUGAAAUGUUGGGUUAGGUCCCGCAACGAGCGCAACCCUUAUCCUCUGUUGCCAGCGGUUCGGCCGGGAACUCAAAGGAGACUGCCAGUGAUAAACUGGAGGAAGGUGGGGAUGACGUCAAGUCAUCAUGGCCCUUACGAGUAGGGCUACACACGUGCUACAAUGGCGCAUACAAAGAGAAGCGACCUCGCGAGAGCAAGCGGACCUCAUAAAGUGCGUCGUAGUCCGGAUCGGAGUCUGCAACUCGACUCCGUGAAGUCGGAAUCGCUAGUAAUCGUAGAUCAGAAUGCUACGGUGAAUACGUUCCCGGGCCUUGUACACACCGCCCGUCACACCAUGGGAGUGGGUUGCAAAAGAAGUAGGUAGCUUAACCUUCGGGAGGGCGCUUACC